UACGAAGGGGGCUAGCGUUACUCGGAAUUAUUGGGCGUAAAGCGUGCGUAGGCGGUUAUGUAAGUUGGGAGUGAAAGCCCAGGGCUCAACCUUGGAAUUGCUUUCAAAACUACGUAACUUGAGUAUUGGAGAGGAUAGUGGAAUUCCUAGUGUAGAGGUGAAAUUCGUAGAUAUUAGGAGGAACACCAGUUGCGAAAGCGGCUAUCUGGCCAAAUGACUGACGCUGUUGCACGAAAGCGUGGGGAGCAAACAGG
rnacentral:rRNA from 1 species